UACGAAGGGGGCUAGCGUUGUUCGGAAUCACUGGGCGUAAAGCGCACGUAGGCGGAUUGUUAAGUCAGGGGUGAAAUCCCGAGGCUCAACCUCGGAACUGCCUUUGAUACUGGCAAUCUUCGAGUCCGGGAGAGGUGAGUGGAACUCCGAGUGUAGAGGUGAAAUUCGUAGAUAUUCGGAAGAACACCAGUGGCGAAGGCGGCUCACUGGCCCGGUACUGACGCUGAGGUGCGAAAGCGUGGGGAGCAAA
rnacentral:rRNA from 1 species